CUCGAGAUGCUCUACUCGUCCACUCGAUCGAGGUUCAGGGUUGACCCGGAGAGCGCUGCAGCUUGGAGGUCCUGCUCGCUGUUCCGCCCCCUUUUCUGCGUUUUCUCCAUAGUCCAACUAAAAUCAUCCAAGAAAUUGGCAGCCAUCUACGCCUACGCGGGCAUCUGUCCUAGGAUUGCAUCUGAAUUCGGAUUUCUCGCGAGCCUUGGCGUCCUCUCCGGACUCCAGGGGGAACAGAGCUAUGAUGAACGAGAUUCAGGAUGAGUCUGCAGUUGAUCCAGUUAUACUGAUUAACACUUUAUCAAUUGAUGAUGCCAAUAAUGGUGGCACUGGCAAAAAGAGGAAAUCAAAGUCCAAAGUGUGGGAGGAUUUCAUUCCUGUUUCAAGUGGUGGAAACAUUCAGAGUGCAAUAUGCAAACAUUGUGGGAAGCGCCUUAGUGGGAGAAGUUCUGGAGGAACAAGCCAUUUGGGCCGGCAUCUGAAGAUUUGUCCUGGGAGACCUGGGAAAAGUAUGGAGGGGCAAAAGAAUUCAUCUUCACAGACUAACCCAUCAAUCCUGCAGAACUGGGAAUUUGAUCAGGAGAAAUCAGUGGAAGACCUUACUAGCUUGAUAAUCUCCAACCUAUGCUCCUUCUCAAUAGUGAAAAGUACAAGUUUUAUCCAGUUUGUGGCUAGCAUUAAUCCUACUUUUAAUAUGGUCUCGCAAGCUACAAUUGAAGAAAAGCUUAUUGCUAUUUUUCAUAAGGAAAAGUUGAAGCUAAAAGAGAAAGUGACAAAUGCAUCCGGUGGAGUUUUUUUAUCUGUUGGAAUGUGGGGCCUUGUAUUUUCACCGACCUUUCGGUGCUUCACUGUGCAUUUCAUUGAUGAGAAAUGGAAGAUGAAUAGAAGAAUAAUAAGUUAUAGAUGUGCAGGAACUGAAAAUGAUGAGGAUCAUUACUAUAUCAGCAUGUUUCCUGAUUGGCAGUCCUUCUGCAAUUUAGGUGAUUCGGAUAAGACGAAACUGCAAGUAGUUAAAGAUUGGGGUAUUCAGCAGAACCUUUUAGGAUUGACAUCACAAGUACCGGUGGAUAAUGAAUUCAUAUCGGGCAUAGAGGCAAGUCUUUCAGGAAGCAAGUAUCUUCUUUCCAAAUUUAAGCUAUUAACUGUUCCUUGUUUGGUGGAUGCAUCGGAUAGGCUUUUCGGGUAUGAAACCAAGAAAAUUAUUCAGGAAACAAGUCGGUCUUACUUCUGCUACAUGACUGGCUCUUCAGUGCGUAAGCAGAAGUAUAACCAAAUUAUUUCAAGUAUGCACCUAAAGCAUCCAUCCUUUGGAUCUAAACAAUGGUACUCAACUUUCUACCUAUUGGAGGUCAUUUUGAAGUUCUGCAAGGCAUUUCCCGAUAUUGAUAUAACAGAUCGAUUGUAUUAUAAAGAACCAACAUCUGAGCAACUAGAAGCAGCAGAAGCUUUUUGCAAGAUUGGAAGACCGAUCUACCAUGCAACGAGGGUCAUUUGUAACCCUCAUAAUGCUUCCAAUAUGUACUUUGAUCCACUGUGGCGUUUGAGGAUUGUGUUGCAAGAAUCAUCUAGCAAACCUGACAUUAAAAGAGUCCUUGAUGUUGAGAAUAUGAACAGAAAUUUUCAGAAGCAUUGGGACAAAUGGUACCUAUGGCUGUCUGUAGCUGUGGUCCUGGAUCCAAGACAUAAGAUCAGGUUUGUAGAAUUUCGCUUUCGACAAGCUUUUGGUACCAGUGCUAAAAUGUACAUCUCUGAAGUUCGUGGGAAGAUAUGUGAACUCUUCACCAGUUAUUCUUGCCACACCCGUCAGAAAAGUAUCUUAGCUCGCACAAACAAUGAAUUAUCGCGGCAGGUGUCUGAUAGUUACUCAUUACGAGACACAAAUCAGAGCUACAAUGAGCUGAGUGAACAAGGGAAAUUUAAAGAACUUAACGAUUAUCUUGGAGGUGAACUUCAUCUGCAAAAUCAUGGAGAGUACUUCGGAGAGACAUUUGCUUCUGCAAAUGACGCUGCUUUCCAUGGAGAGCAAGUUUAUCGGCAAAAUGAUGAUUUUGAUAUUCUGAAAUGGUGGAAAGACAAUGAGUCAACAUAUCCAACUCUCGCUGCUAUUGCACGUGAUGUUCUAGCCAUACCUGGAUCCGCUGUUCCCUCUGAAGCUGCAUUUGAUGUUGCUGAUGAGCGGGCAAGGCUAUUCGAGACAGAGCUCAGUCCUCAAACAGCUGAAGCCCUUAUUUGCACUCAGAGUUGGAUUUCAUGAUGUGGAUUGUAACUUUAAUCUAUGGGGCAAUGCUAAGCUGUGGAGGUCUGCUAACUCAGAAGAUUCAGGGCGCCGUUUGCUUUGGAUCAAGGUUGAGAAGGUACAACAGUGCUGACUCUGUAUAAUCCUGGAGGCCAAAAAAGAGGCACAUCAUCGCAUGGUGAAAGAAGCACGAUGCAGUAUCUCCUCGCUAGUCACCCCUGAUGAAGAUGAUGAUAUUUGAUGUCCUGAUGUGGGACCUGACCUCAUGUUUGACUAGUUUCCCUCAGAUAGGGCUUUUGGUUAUGGCUAGAUUGUUAUAUGAGACUUUAUAUGGAUGUUGUUUAUGCUCAAUUCGUUAUCUUUCCUGCA